GAUAUUGUUGAGGACAUGGUGAGGCCUUUUCUUUCGCUGGUCGGCUGCCCAGAUUGCAAAGACCACUAGAAGGUUAUCACGCGCGUCUCACAGUCAAUGGCUAAUCCGAAUGCAUUUUAUGUGAAAUGUUUAAGAUAUAAACUUGACUAUCAGGGUAAGAAAUGCGGCUUUUACAAGUGGCUUCAUGAAUAUGCACAGUACCUGCGGAAGAUUGGCGAACCGGCUCCCCAGAAUCUUCUUGGUAGAAUUGAAGAACUUCAUAUGAAUAAAGUAGCAAGUUUCAAUCUGCUGGAGGGCGAGGUGAACAGUGCCCAUCACGCAGAGGUGAUUGAACUUGAGGGAGUGCCGAGGGAAAGAAAACUUCAGGAGAUGGUGAACACACUCCAGAAUGAAAAAAAAACUUAAGGAACUGGAGGAUGCACUGGAGAAGGCGAACGCAAGAGGAAGGCGUUGUUUUAUCGGUUGUUUAAUCAUGUUUUUCUGGUUCAUUUCUUUGUGUUUUGCUGUGUUUGUUGGUCGUGCUUUGGAUGCUGGGCAGAACUAGUUAGGACAAGUGCUCAUGGUGUAAUUAUGGCAGUGAUCCAGUGAAUGACAUCCUAGACUUAAUAGUUUUAUGAACUCGUGAUGUUGCUUUUUGAUGACUAUGUUUGUUGGAUAGCAAAAAAUAUUAUCCUUGCCACAUAAUUUACUGAGCUUCUCCCGGAA